GAUGCGGNCUANCAUGCAGUCGCACGAGAACGCUUCAGCUUGCUGAAGUUAGUAAAGUGGCGCACGGGUGAGUAACGCGUGGGUAAUCUCCCCCUGAAUUGGGGAUAACAUUGCGAAAGCGAUGCUAAUACCGGAUAACAUCUUUUCGACUUCGGUCUAUAAGAUCAAAGGUGGCCUCUACAUGUAAGCUACUGUUUGGGGAUGAGCCCGCGUACCAUUAGCUUGUUGGUAGGGUAACGGCUUACCAAGGCCGCGAUGGUUAGCUGGUCUGAGAGGAUGACCAGCCACACUGGAACUGACACACGGUCCAGACUCCUACGGGAGGCAGCAGUGAGGAAUUUUGCGCAAUGGGGGAAACCCUGACGCAGCAACGCCGCGUGAGUGAUGAAGGCUUUCGGGUCGUAAAGCUCUGUCAAGUGGGAAGAACCCACGUGGUGCUAAUAUCACCAUGUGCUGACGGUACCACUGAAGGAAGCACCGGCUAACUCCGUGCCAGCAGCCGCGGUAAUACGGGGGGUGCAAGCGUUAUUCGGAAUUACUGGGCGUAAAGAGCGCGUAGGCGGUCUCUUAAGUCAGGUGUGAAAGCCCGGGGCUCAACCCCGGAAGUGCACUUGAAACUAAGGGACUUGAGUAUGGGAGAGGGAAGUGGAAUUCCUGGUGUAGCGGUGAAAUGCGUAGAUAUCAGGAGGAACGUCGGUGGCGAAGGCGACUUCCUGGACCAAUACUGACGCUGAGGCGCGAAGGCGUGGGGAGCAAACAGGAUUAGAUACCCUGGUAGUCCACGCAGUAAACGGUGAACACUAGGUGUAGCGGGUAUUGACCCCUGCUGUGCCGCAGCUAACGCAUUAAG
rnacentral:rRNA from 1 species